UACGGAGGGUGCGAGCGUUGUCCGGAAUCACUAGGCGUAAAGGGCGCGUAGGCGGCGCGAGUAGUCAACGGUGAAAGCCCGGGGCUCAACCCCGGGUCGGCCGUCGAUACUCUCGUGCUUGAGCACUGUAGAGGCAGGUGGAAUUCCGGGUGUAGCGGUGAAAUGCGCAGAUAUCGGGAAGAACACCCGUGGCUAAGGCGGCUCUCUAGUACGGUACUGACGCUGAGACGCGAAAGCGUGGGGAGCGAACAGG
rnacentral:rRNA from 1 species